rnacentral:rRNA from 1 species
AUUGAACGCUGGCGGCAUGCCUUACACAUGCAAGUCGAACGGCAGCACGGGUGCUUGCACCUGGUGGCGAGUGGCGAACGGGUGAGUAAUACAUCGGAACAUGUCCUGUAGUGGGGGAUAGCCCGGCGAAAGCCGGAUUAAUACCGCAUACGAUCUACGGAUGAAAGCGGGGGACCUUCGGGCCUCGCGCUAUAGGGUUGGCCGAUGGCUGAUUAGCUAGUUGGUGGGGUAAAGGCCUACCAAGGCGACGAUCAGUAGCUGGUCUGAGAGGACGACCAGCCAAACUGGGACUGAGACACGGCCCAGACUCCUACGGGAGGCAGCAGUGGGGAAUUUUGGAAAAUGGGCGAAAGCCUGAUCCAGCAAUGCCGCGUGUGUGAAGAAGGCCUUCGGGUUGUAAAGCACUUUUGUCCGGAAAGAAAGCCUUGGCCCUAAUACGGUCGGGGGAUGACGGUACCGGAAGAAUAAGCACCGGCUAACUACGUG